UUUGAGCGAGCCGAGAUUGGACCACUGCACUCCAGCCUGGCGACAGAGCAAGACUCCGUCUCAAAAAAAAAGAAAAGUUAUAAUCCCCUAUUAAGAAGAAAUGCCCUCCCCUCUGAAAAAGGAGGGGAGACCAGCAUCCAUUUGUACAUUUAAAGAUUAAGUAUAAACCAAUCCAAGCCAGUGAGAGAACACAGAAGAAAAAAGUAAACAGGCCCCUACCCCUACCCCCAAAAUAGUUCCCCUUUGAAAGUUCUAAGCAGUGAGUGCCUGGUACCGAGGGCUGCCCUGUUCCUUGGAGGGGUCAGCAAAGCUAUGCUAAACUGACAGGUUCAGUUUACAGCAGGCCAGAACUUUGUUUGGAUAUACUGGCCUUGUUCACCACCAGCUUAACAACAGAUGGCUAGAAAACUUUCAUUAUGUUGCACAGGACUGAACUGCAAACAACCCAGAAAACUGUGAAAAGUUUAACUCCCUCUGAACCAAUGUGCCAAACCAGGGCCUGCCCAGAGCCAGUGAACCAGCUUAGGGCCAAGGGGGCUGUGGAAGUGAUGGUUAAAGUAAGGCUACCCAAGUCAAGGCAAGGCACCUUUCCAGGCUCCAAAACAGCAGCGACCCACCCAAAUCUCUAUUUAACUCUUCAAAGGCCAGGCCAUAUAAGGAGUUGCAUCGACUAUGCCUUCUUUACUUUUCCAAAAUGUACUGUCAGAAUUUCCCUCCCUUUGGAGAAAGAAAAUCUUCCGCCAGACAAGUCCCAAUCCCCAAGCUGCCGUCUUGCCUUCCCUUCUCCUGGAAGUUGGGAGCACAGGACCAAAUAGUCUCACCCUAACACCCAGAGUUAAAUUUGAUUUAUCUAAAUCUGUUUAUAAUUUAAAUAUUCAUUAAAUAGAUUCAAUCACAUGAACCCUAAUAUCUCCUAAUGCUCUGAGACAGGUUAUAAAUGCACCUUCAAAGGUUUAAUUCAAUUGGCAAUCUGAGAAGCCUUAUCACUGGAAAUGUGUUAUUUUCAUAUUAUGCAAGAAAUGAACAAAUGUGUUUUCCACAAAUGUAUUUUAGAAGCCACCCUUUCCUGUUAUUGAAAGAAAAUUGUGUUUAUUACUCCUUUAGCAUAGUGUAAACUCAUAAACGUCAACAGAGAGUACAAGGAAAACUGUCAACUAAAUAUUGUUUCCUUCAUGAGCUGUUCUUCCAAGUCAAUUACGCCUUUCAACUUCUGGGGCAUUGUAUGAUAAACUGGCAGUAAAAAUCAUUCACAUUAAUAUACCAUGGUGCCUUGCCUGCAAAAGGUAAUUAAAGAAGUAAAUGACUCAUAAGAAUAGACAUAUUAGCUGCAAAAUGAAAGGCAACUGAGCUGCCACAUAAAAAUAUGUACCAUUAAGAUACUGCAUUUUCAUAUUCCUGUAAUCAGCUUCAGUAGACUAAUGCUUAUUUAAUCCAGUUCUCUGCUAAGUCCAUCAACAACUGUUUUUUGCUGUUUUCUCCUUGACUGAACAUUAUGAGAGCAGGUUUAGAAUAAAUACUGCAAUGAGAUUUUUGCAUACUCAGUUGAAGAACAGGUUUUUACAUUUUAAAAUCUAUUUUUCUUUCUCUGAGAAAUACAACAUAAAAAAAAAGAUUACUGGUGAAAAAAUACGUAUGUAUAUUGUUAGUAGACGUGUCCCUUUAAAUGGCAGAACAUUUCAGCAAAAUAUUUGUUUCCAUAAUCACUAUUUCUGACCUGUACCACUAUCGGCAUAAGGGUGUCAUGCCUCCACUUGCCAGAUCUCAGCUUCCUUUAUGAAGCACUCCCUUUUGUUAAUAAUGUCUUCCAUUAGCAUUAGCAGGAUGAGGGCAAUUUAUCCUUUGGCAGGGAUGUAAGGAGAAGGCAAGAAAUGAGGAGGGGGUUAGCGUGUGCGGGGUGGGAGAGUAUCUCAGACAUGACUAGCAGCCUCUGAGUCCUUUUCCUUCCAGGGUGUUAGACUGAAUAAACCCUGCUCAAAGAGAAAUGAAUUGACCCUCAAAAUAACUGCUCUAUUUUCCAAUCUCUGGCUUUCAAACUGACAUUUUGCUCACUUCUCCAUAUCCCUUUAUAUUUCAGCACAUCCUCACCAGCCCAGCCAAGCCACAGCAAAACAUCCUUCAUACAGUCUGAGAAUUUUCACUCCACCUGCUCACUUCUCUGCUGUGGGAACCUUGAUCUUAACCAUUUGGGAGUUACAGUUUUCAGAACUCAUGCAGCUCCCCCGAUGUCCAAUGCCAGCAGUGAAAUCAGCCUAGGAUAUUUGGUCUUCUACCAUGUGUGUCAACAAGUCAUCAGCCUUCAAUAACAUCUGAAUACAUCUGGAUGGUGCCCAUUAACUUAAAAAAAAAAAACCCAAAAAAAAAAUCCAAUCUAGUUUUUUUUUUUUUUUUUUUUUGGGUGCAAGACCAUGGGCUU